rnacentral:rRNA from 1 species
GAUGAACGCUGGCGGCGUGCCUAAUACAUGCAAGUCGAGCGAACGGACGAGAAGCUUGCUUCUCUGAUGUUAGCGGCGGACGGGUGAGUAACACGUGGAUAACCUACCUAUAAGACUGGGAUAACUUCGGGAAACCGGAGCUAAUACCGGAUGAUAUUUUGAACCGCAUGGUUCAAAAGUGAAAGACGGUCUUGCUGUCACUUAUAGAUGGAUCCGCGCUGCAUUAGCUAGUUGGUAAGGUAACGGCUUACCAAGGCAACGAUGCAUAGCCGACCUGAGAGGGUGAUCGGCCACCCUGGAACUGAGACACGGUCCAGACUCCUACGGGAGGCAGCAGUAGGGAAUCUUCCGCAAUGGGCGAAAGCCUGACGGAGCAACGCCGCGUGAGUGAUGAAGGUCUUCGGAUCGUAAAACUCUGUUAUUAGGGAAGAACAUAUGUGUAAGUAACUGUGCACAUCUUGACGGUACCUAAUCAGAAAGCCACGGCGAACUACGU